rnacentral:lncRNA from 1 species
UACUCUCAUUCUUGCAUAGUAAUUUACAUUAUGCCAAUAUCUUUAUUAGAGAUACAAUGUAAUCAAGAGAUAUUUUAUCUUCAUUUUUCAGGGAAAAAAGCCUGGAGGAAAACGGAGAUCGUGCAAGGUGAAAGGGUUUCUGAGUGGAGAAUUGAAGCCGCAAACUGCACAUCUCAUCAUCUCUUUAAGACUACAGUGCACUGCUUUGUUGCUCCUUGGAUUCCUGUGAUCUUUGCUUCCAUUUUGCAGAGACCUAACUUGUCCUGGAUUGGUUUGUUACAUACGUAUACUUGUAUACUUGUGCCAUGUUGGUGUGCUACACCCAUCAACUCGUCAUUUACAUCAGAUGGAUGCAUUAGAUUCACUUCUGCCAAGUAAUGAGAAGAGCUUCACUGGAGAUAUGCGGAAAAUGUUUUCCUUGUUUUUGAAAAUGAUGAAUAGGAGGAAAACACAGCUUCUGGAUCUGGAUAUUUUCUUCUUAUCUGCAUGUGACACCUAGAAAUGUGGUAGUCACCUUUGGAUCAAAAGGGGAGUAGGCCUAAGAGGAUAAGUCAAUCCCUGUAAAUGGCUAAGCAAAGAUAGAAGAAACUUGAGAACUUGAUAAUAUUGUUGAGAGGUUCUCGUUAGGGAAAGACCACCCAAUCUCCAUAUUUUUUUGCCCCCUUUAAUCCCCUUUUUAUAGCAUUUUCUUUGCAUCCAAAAUUAUCCUACCUGGUGCAAUAGAUAAUUCAUAGAGCAUAGUAAAUUUAAAAAUGCUACUUCUCUUGAUUGGAAAGCAAAAUGUGAAAGAAGAAAACAGGAAGAUAAGUAUUAAUUAGAUUAAAAGUGAUUUGUUUAAAAUAAUUGUGUGUGUAUAAAACAGGAAAAAAAUUCCCAUUAAUCAUUUAUUGACUUCAAAUGCUAUGUGAUUUAUUUUAAUUUUUUUGAAUUUUGAAAUUUUUCUUAUGUCUAAAAGAUGUGAUCAUUGUCUUUUUGACAGAAACAAGGUGGACCUUGUAAAAUACCAGUUUUAAAUUCAAAUUAAAGACUUUCAUUUGUCAACACAAUAUUGCUACUGUUGAUUAUUUUGAGGAGAGAUAAAUUUAGGGAGAAAUGCG